rnacentral:rRNA from 1 species
CAGUCGCCGCGGUAAUACAGAGGGUGCGAGCGUUAAUCGGAAUUACUGGGCGUAAAGCGCGCGUAGGCGGUUUUGUAAGUCAGAUGUGAAAUCCCUGGGCUCAACCUGGGAACUGCAUUUGAUACUGCAUGGCUAGAGUAUCGAAGAGGGAAGUGGAAUUUCCGGUGUAGCGGUGAAAUGCGUAGAUAUCGGAAGGAACACCAGUGGCGAAAGCGACUUCCUGGUCGAAUACUGACGUUCAUGUGCGAAAGCGUGGGGAGCAAACAGGAUUAGAUACCCCCGUAGUCCCUGUCUCUUAUAC